rnacentral:misc_RNA from 1 species
GAUGCAUUAAAUUCUGCUCAUCCCUGAUAUAAUCAACUAUUCCCAUGGUUCUUUUGUCCAUCCACAUUUAAGAGGGGGAAUUCGUAGUGUUGUUUUUCAAGCUUUUGAGCCCUUGAUGAAUUUUGACGACACUAGAAAACUCUCUUUUGUCGAAAGUGGUAAGGACAAUGUGUCCUUUGUUUCUUUUACUGCUGCAGGAUGUGUCACUCUAGUUAUUUCUUGUGUCGGUUAAAGAGGGAAAUCAUCUCUCUGCCUAGUGUUAGAUUUGAUGUCCAAGAUGAUAGGAAAAUAGAGCUCUUCUUUCUUUCCUCCUUCCUCCUACCAUACAGAAUGUCACGAAGUAUAUGCCUAGCUACAAAAUGUAAGCUUCUAUAUUGUGAAUUUUACCAACCAGUUCUGG